UACGGAGGGUGCGAGCGUUGUUCGGAAUUACUGGGCGUAAAGGGCUCGUAGGCGGCCAACUAAGUCAGACGUGAAAUCCCUCGGCUUAACCGGGGAACUGCGUCUGAUACUGGAUGGCUUGAGUUUGGGAGAGGGAUGCGGAAUUCCAGGUGUAGCGGUGAAAUGCAUAGAUAUGCCAUAGAACACCAAUUGCGAAGGCAGCUGGCUAGACCUGGAUUGACGCUGAGGCACGAAAGCGUGGGGAGCAAGACGG
rnacentral:rRNA from 1 species